GACGGAGGAUGCAAGCGUUAAUCGGAAUUACUGGGCGUAAAGCGUGCGUAGGCGGUUAGUUAAGUUAGAUGUGAAAGCCCUGGGCUUAACCUGGGAACGGCAUUUGAAACUGGCGAGCUAGAGUUGAGUAGAGGGGAGUGGAAUUUCAGGUGUAGCGGUGAAAUGCGUAGAUAUCUGAAGGAACACCAGUGGCGAAGGCGACUCCCUGGACUCAAACUGACGCUGAGGUACGAAAGCGUGGGUAGCAAACAGG
rnacentral:rRNA from 1 species